rnacentral:rRNA from 1 species
UACAGCCAUAUCAUGUCAAAACACCAAUUCUCAUACAAUCACUGAAGUCAAGCAAUGUUGAGUUUGGUCAUUACCUAGAUGGGUGACCAGUUGGGAAUACCAGGUGCCGUAG